CCUGGGUAGGACCAGCAGCUAGGGUAAUCAGUGACCUCGAGGAGGGUCCCUAAGGCCUCAGACACCAGUAUGGACUUCCUGGGAUACACAUCUGAUUGGAGUCCUGUCAUGAUGGUGAAAUAGAGAUCACAGGCCUUCACCCCUUUGGUUGAUGCAAAGUAACCCUAAUAAGCCACUGCCUUCCCAAAGGGAUCAGCUCUACCAAAGGACCAAGGUGGGAAGGGAUGUGAGUCAGCCAGAAUCCUGGCCUUCCUCCUGAAAUAACCCCAGCCACACAGCUGUGGUAAUGCAGCAACUGCGUCACCAGGAAGGUACAGGGUACAGACAGUGGCUGUACUGACCUGGUUAUUCAGAUAUCCAUUAGAAGAACAACAUUCAACUAAGCCUAAAUGACAUUGGUCCUUCUCUCCAGCCAGCAACGGACCCCAGGCACAACUCCCCAUCUGAGCACCUCAGCAAACAACUCCGACACAGAGAAAGGUCACUGGGGUAGUACUGAGGAAAACUACUUAGAUCAAGAUUGCACAGUCUUCUGGAUAAGAAAACCACUUGCUAUAUGGGCUCCCACACUGUACUCACUGCUAUCAUCUGCAGACGCACUGGAAUAUGCUGGAAAGAUUUAGGCAAAAUCAACUGCAAGUUUUGAAAAACAAGUAGGAUCAGAUAAUUUGCUAGAAGGAAAAAAAAAAGA